CAGCCGCCACGGUAAUACGUAGGUGGCGAGCGUUGUCCGGAUUUAUUGGGCGUAAAGGGAGUGUAGGCGGUCUUUUAAGUCUGAUGUGAAAGCCCACGGCUCAACCGUGGAGGGUCAUUGGAAACUGGGAGACUUGAGUGCAGAAGAGGAGAGCGGAAUUCCAUGUGUAGCGGUGAAAUGCGUAGAUAUAUGGAGGAACACCAGUGGCGAAGGCGGCUCUCUGGUCUGUAACUGACGCUGAGGCUCGAAAGCGUGGGGAGCAAACAGGAUUAGAUACCCCUGUAGUCCCUGUCUCUUAUAA
rnacentral:rRNA from 1 species